AGGGUAUUUCUGAUUUUCUAUACCUGCAGUUUAACACUGUUAGAGUCAAAUCUGAUUGAAGUGGCGUAGAAGGCAAAAGAGUUUAGAGUAGUGGCACCUAUAAGAACUUAACUUUUUUAAUAAUUUAUAGGUAAUUGUAAACUUUUAUAAUGGCAUAUCGGUAAAAGCCUCUUCUUUUUGAUUGCUGCGCUUACUAGUUGGGUGUUGGUUUGUACCAUGGGUCUGGGACUAUCAGCUAUGUACGGUCCCCGAAUGAUAGAGGCUGGAACUUGUUCCCUUAUCUAAAAAUAAAAGUACUCACGAGUGUAUAAAAUGACCAUGCCGCUUGAAACUUUUUCCAGAGUAGAUUUCCAUAUAUAAAAUUAGCUAUACACAUUUAGCUUCACG
rnacentral:lncRNA from 1 species